rnacentral:rRNA from 1 species
GUAAACAGUCAUACCACCAUGAACCCACCCCAAACUCUUCUGAUCUUGGAAGCUAGCAGAGUCAGGCUUGAUUAGUUUUUGGAUUGGAGAAGUUUUUGAGCCCAAGUAUGUGGACU